UGAUAAGGAUCAAAAGGUCAAAAAGCUAUCAUGCUUGCAUGAAAUGCUUUUUGACUUUGGGAUCCGCCAAACAUGAGGAAGUAGCAAUUUACGCAGUAAAUUAGCGGAUUCCGAAUGCUUGUAGAAUUGCGAGAGCUUCGAAGAAACGAAGCAAUUCGUAUCAU
rnacentral:sRNA from 1 species